AAAAAAAGAAGUUGUGGAAUUGUGACCUAAAUAACACGGCCCUUUAGUUUGUUUCCUCACCGGUGACAAAUUCGUAACCACGCUUUUCAGUGUACCAAUUUUACCAGGACAAUAUAUAUGACCAUUUUAAUUUUUAACAAUUAAAGUGCAUUCUCUUAAGAGCUUAUUCUUGCAUAAUUGAAUAUGAUGCUCACGGUCACGGGUUUCUUAGGGAUAACGUACAUGAAAUCUCAAAAGAACCAAUAACGUAGCAAGAGUAAAAACUCUCAUGGAGAACUACGUUCAGAUCUCCUUGGUCUAACACGCUAGCAACUUCCAAUGUAUUCUACAGUUUGGAUAGAUCUCGCAAAUGAAACCUAAUUUUUACUU
rnacentral:sRNA from 1 species